UACGAAGGGUGCGAGCGUUAAUCGGAAUUACUGGGCGUAAAGCGUGCGCAGGCGGUCUGCUAAGACAGGUGUGAAAUCCCUGGGCUCAACCUAGGAAUUGCGCUUGUGACUGGCGGGCUAGAGUACGGUAGAGGGGGGUGGAAUUCCUGGUGUAGCAGUGAAAUGCGUAGAGAUCAGGAGGAACACCGAUGGCGAAGGCAGCCCCCUGGGCCUGUACAGACGCUCAGGCACGAAAGCGUGGGGAGCAAACAGG
rnacentral:rRNA from 1 species